UGGCGCUACUGGCGGUCGCGGCAAUCGCCGCCGCAAUGUUCGUGCGGGUGCAGGCAAGGUCGGCAUCGCCGUUGAUCCGGCUGGCGCUGU
rnacentral:tRNA from 1 species